rnacentral:rRNA from 1 species
AUUGAACGCUGGCGGCAUGCUUUACACAUGCAAGUCGAACGGCAGCGCGGGCUUCGGCCUGGCGGCGAGUGGCGAACGGGUGAGUAAUGCAUCGGAACGUGCCCAGUAUUGGGGGAUAGCCCGGCGAAAGCCGGAUUAAUACCGCAUACGACCUGAGGGUGAAAGCGGGGGACCGAAAGGCCUCGCGCUAUUUGAGCGGCCGAUGUCGGAUUAGCUAGUUGGUGGGGUAAAGGCUUACCAAGGCGACGAUCCGUAGCUGGUCUGAGAGGACGACCAGCCACACUGGGACUGAGACACGGCCCAGACUCCUACGGGAGGCAGCAGUGGGGAAUUUUGGACAAUGGGGGCAACCCUGAUCCAGCCAUGCCGCGUGCGGGAAGAAGGCCUUCGGGUUGUAAACCGCUUUUGUUCGGGAAGAAAUACUCUGGGCUAAUACCCCGGGGGGAUGACGGUACCGGAAGAAUAAGCACCGGCUAACUACGUG